UGCAUUCUCACAAUCUGGUCUUUACUCCAAUCACCAAGAUAUUGGGCCGCGUUAUGCUGGAGUACUGCUUGGAUUAUCCAACACUGCAGGCGUACUUGCUGGUGUCUUUGGGACUGCUGCAACCGGAUACAUUCUUCAACAUGGUUCUUGGAAUGACGUGUUCAAAGUGGAGAGAAAAU